UACGGAGGGUGCGAGCGUUGUUCGGAAUCACUGGGCGUAAAGCGCGUGUAGGCGGCCCACUAAGUCUGAUGUGAAAGCCCGGGGCUCACCCCCGGAAGUGCAUUGGAAACUGGUGGACUCGAGUCCCGGAGAGGAGAGUGGAAUUCCUGGUGUAGCGGUGAAAUUCGUAGAUAUUCGCAAGAACACCAGUGGCGAAGGCGACUUACUGGACACAUAUUGACGCUGAGGUGACGAAAGCGUGGGGAGCAAACAGGAUUGA
rnacentral:rRNA from 1 species